rnacentral:rRNA from 1 species
GACGAACGCUGGCGGCGUGCUUAACACAUGCAAGUCGAACGGAAAGGCCCUGCUUUUGUGGGGUGCUCGAGUGGCGAACGGGUGAGUAACACGUGAGUAACCUGCCCUUGACUUUGGGAUAACUUCAGGAAACUGGGGCUAAUACCGGAUAGGAGCUCCUGCUGCAUGGUGGGGGUUGGAAAGUUUCGGCGGUUGGGGAUGGACUCGCGGCUUAUCAGCUUGUUGGUGGGGUAGUGGCUUACCAAGGCUUUGACGGGUAGCCGGCCUGAGAGGGUGACCGGCCACAUUGGGACUGAGGUACGGCCCAGACUCCUACGGGAGGCAGCAGUGGGGAAUAUAGCACAAUGGGCGGAAGCCUGAUGCAGCAACGCCGCGUGCGGGAUGACGGCCUUCGGGUUGUAAACCGCUUUCGCCUGUGACGAAGCGUGAGUGACGGUAAUGGGUAAAGAAGCACCGGCUAACUACGUG